rnacentral:lncRNA from 1 species
GCCUCUGCACUGGGAUUCCUCCAGCCCCAGCAAGUCCCUCAGGUGGUCCCAGCCUCUGUGUCCGCCUCUGCUCUCCCAGAGCGCCUCAGGCAGAGCAGCCAGGAUGGGGACCAGGCCCGCCUUACCGGGAAUGAGCCUGUCACCUGCUCCUCCCACCCCGCAGCAGAUCAUGCAACCAGCAAGGCUCUGGUCCAAGUAGGAACGGAUGGUAAACUGGGCAGUGAUGAUGGUGGAGAUGGUGGUGGUGGUGAUGAUGAUGACAAUGAUAAUGAUGAUGGUGAUGGCAGUGGUGGUAGUGGUGAUGGUGCUGGUGGUGCUGGUGAUAUGAUGAUGGCAGUGAUGGUAGUGAUAAUAGUGAUGAUAAUGUGAUGGUAGUGAUGGUGGUGGCAGUAAUAGUGAUGGUGAUGGUGGCAGAGAGGGUGGUGACAGUGAUGUCAGUGGUAAUGGUGGUGGUGAUGGUAAUGGUGAUGGUGGUGGUGGUGAUGAUGGUGGUGAUAGUGGUAGUGAUGGUGUGGUGGAAAUGAUGGCUGUGAUCGUGAUGAUGAUGGUAGUGAUGGUUACAAUGAUAGUGGUGGUAGUGGUGGUGAUGGCAAUGAUGGUAUUGAUGGUGAUGGUGGUGGUGGUGGUAGUGAUGGUGGUGGUGGUAGAUGGUGGCAGUGAAGACGGUGGUAAUGGUAGAUGGUGGCAGUGAAGAUGGUGGUAAUGAUGGUAAUGGUGAUAGUGGUGCUGGUGGUGAUGGUGAUGGUGGUGGUGGUGGUAGUGAUGGUGAUGAUGAUGGUGAUAGUGAUGGUGGUGGUGGUGGUGGUGCUGUUAGUGGUGGUGGUGGUGUUGCUGGUGGUGUUGGUGAUGGUGGUGGUGGUGGUGGUGAUGGUCAUGGUGGUGGUGGUGGUGGUGGUGGUGAUGGUGGUGGUGGUGGUGGUCAUGGUGAUGGUGGUGAUAGAGCCAAGAGGCUCUUGGGACCAUAUGGCUGGGACUGAAGGCAGUGUAGACACAGCUGACCCUUCAUGAGGGCUCUGCCUGGCUCUAGUAGCUUCUAUCCUGAAAGCCUGGUGAGUGUCUGAAGGAUGGUCCCCUUGUUAAGUGAGGGCAGGCUUGUGGAUUUCAGGGGCCCCAGAGGCCUGGGAGGACAUUUAGUGGGGGCGGGGUCCUCACCAAAGACUCAAUGGGCUCUGGAGUUCCUGUGUCUCCUGAGACCUGCGCCUGACGUCACCCUCUGGAUGGCCUCUGGCCUCUACCUGGGCUGGGGUGUCCCAGGAACAGAGAAGGACCCAACUAUUGUUGGGGACCCCAGCACUCUCUGUCCAACCGAGCCUGGGGCCUGGGUGGCAAAUGUGGGCAUUGCGAGAGUGGCAGGACUGGGAGGAGGCCCAAGCCCUGGGUAGGGCCUGGGGGGUGCCAGGUCCACACCUCCGAGGUGGUGAGUGGUGCAGACAGCUGGUGCCUGUGGGUCCCUAACAAAUGCAGCUGAGAAGUGGGCCCUCAGAUGUCCACGUGGCAUAACCCUGCUGUGACUGAAGCCGCCAGCCUGGAUUGAACAUUCUUCAAGAUUUCUGCCUUCAUUUAACAAGCUCCACUAGACGUGGCCUCUGGAGCACAGGUCUCUCCCAAACAUCACCAAAAUGACCGAAGAGGAAGAGGGAGGUGCCGUUUGCAGGAAAGAGAGAACGGGAGUGGAGCAGCAGCCACCAGUGAGGGAAGAGGUGGCAAAGUGCUCCAUGGCUGGGGUGCCUAUCUUGGCAGAGUGGAGCAGAUGAAAGGCCCAUCUGCCGACAAGACCACUGCCACCCUCUGCCACCCUCCACCACCCUCCGCCAGGUCACCAGAAUGCCAGGCCUCACUCAUGAUCAGCUGAGCACCAGCAGGCAGGUGAGAAGAGCCUCCAGUGUGGAGCAGGUCAACCAGCAACAGAGCCAGGGAGACCCAUGGAGUCCAGAGAAAACGGUAACAACGGCAGCAGCACCCAGAGACUGGCUCCCAGUGAGUUAAGCCCAGCCGCGACCCUUGGAUGUGCCAGCUGAUUUAAUACUCAUGAUAAACCCAGUAGGUCAGUGCCAGUAUUAUGAGAGAAGUGAGGCACAGAAUGUCACAUCCACCUCCCCAAAGUCAACAGCUAGGAGUGACAGAGCCAGGAUUCUGCCAGGCAGGUUGGCCUCAGAGGCCACACUUCUUAUCCCAAUAAUAAAAGUGAACAAGAACAGGAUGAAGUUAGAGUGAGAGAGCGAGAGUGGUAACACUCAUGCAAUCAGAGAACAAGAGAAAGCUCAAUGGAAACAUGUAUUCACUGACAGGAUUAAAACACAAAACAACAAAAAGAGAGACGGCCAGGCGCGGUGGCUCACGCCUGUAAUCCCAGCACUUUGGGAGGCCAAGGCAGGCAGAUCCCCUGAGCUCAGGAGUUUGAGACCAGCCUGGGCAACAUGGUGAAACCCUGACUCUACUAAAAAUACAAAAAUUAGCUGGGCAUGGUGGGGCAUGCUUGUACUCGGGAGGCUGAGGUGGGAGGAUCACUUGAACCCGGGAGGCAGAGGUUGCAGUGAGUCCAGAUCGCACCACUGCACUCUAGCCUAGGUGAUAGAGUGAGAUCCUAUCUAAAAAAAAAAAAAAAAAAAAAUAGAAGGCAGGAAGGAAAUAUCAGAAAAAUGCAGAAUUGAUCCAGGAGGUCCAAGUUCCAAAAGGAGUCAGAAAGAGAAAGGAGAGAAAAAGGUGGGGGAUCAAUGAUCAAAGAACUAAACUGAGACCAGCGCCCAGAAUGACAAGGCACAGGCCAGACAGCAAGGCUCACCCAAGUCCAGCACAAUGCAAGUGACACGUGUGCAUCACUGUGGAAUUGUAGACCACUGGUGCCAAGGAGUGCCCCAAAAAACUUCCAGAGGGGGAAAAAAUAGUCACAUAUGUCUCUCUCUCUCUUUUUUUUUUAAGGAUAAAGGGAAUUCUUUUUUUUUUUUUUGAGUCAGGGUCUUGCUGUGUUGCCCAGGCUGCAGUGCAGUGGUGUCAUCAUAGCUCACUGCAGCCUCUAACUCCUGGGCUCAAGCGAUCCUCCAACCUCAGCCUCCUGGGUAGCUGGGACUACAAGCAAGCACCACCAUGCCCAGUUAAUUUUUUAAUUUUUUUUGUAUGGAUGGGGGUCUCACUAUGUUGCCCAGGCUGCAGCAGGUUGGUCUCAAACUCCCGGACCCAAGUGAUACUCCCACCUGGGCCUCCAAAAGAGCUGGGAAUACAGGCCUGAGCCAUCAUGCCCAGCCACAUACUGUCUCAUAAAAAGGCAAAGCAACCCCCAAAUGCAGAAGGAGCUGAGAAACCAAAGGAGGAGGCAGACAAAUUCAGCUUGUUGUUAAAGUGUGUUUUAUGGGGGAUCUUAUGAACAGAAGAGUGGUCUUGGACAGCCACAAGACAUAUAGAUCUCCACACCAUAAUUCCCCAGACCCAGAGGUUAUAUACCAUAGGGAAAGGGUACAUGUGCUUCAGAGGGAAUGGGGAGGAAUUUGAUCUAAAGGCAGGACUUACAGUAUAUGCUCUUAUGCAAGAAACAACAGAUAAACUGAAAAUCUCAGAGGCAUUCCUGGAACCAGUGUUAGUCAGAAGUCAGCAUGGUGGAUUAGCUUCCAUGGUAUGUUACUUUAGCCUCCACACAUACCAAGGAUUAGUAGUAAAGAUGGAACUGGACUUCCAGUAACCACACAGAAGCUCAAAGACAGAGUACCUUACAGAUGCUGAGGAAAAGAGACUCCCAACAGCAAAUUCUAUACCCAGCCAAACUAUCUGUCUAGUGUGAGGAAAUACUAAUGACACUGUUAGAUUUGUUAAAUCUCAAAACACUUAUCUCCCAUGCAUCUCUUCUGAAGAAGUAUCUGAAGGAUGCUCCCCUACAAGGAGAAGUCAACCAAGAAAGAGAAGGGGGUGCCAACACAGGUGAGGCAGGAGGGGCCAGCAGGCCUGGAGAGCAGCCAGUCCAGCUGUGGCAGGAAACUGGUUGGCUCCUGCUGAAAGGUAUCCAGGGAAAAUGGCCUUCCUAGAUUACACAAUGCAAGUUUCUGUGUGGAAGCCAUGUCACGAGAGAUUUCUAAAAUGAUUAGAGCAUUUAGGAAGAAUUUGUUGUUGACACAUAGAAAACCAAACAAAGGAAAACCAGGAGGCAAUUUUUAACUCCAGGAAAAACAAAGAAGUUGCUCAGGAAAGAGCAUUUAAUUAUAGUAUAUAACGUUGUUCAGGCAAGAACAAUUCUUAUGUAGUCAUGAUAAUUUAAAUAUGGAAUAUUUUUAAGCUAAAAGUAUUGUGGGGUUUUGUUGUUGUUGUUGUUUUGUUGUUGAGACGGAGUCUCACUCUGUCGCCCAGGCUGGAGUGCAGUGGUGUGAUCUCAGCUCACUGCAAGCUCCACCUCCUGGGUUCACGCCAUUCUCCUGCCUCAGCCUCCUGAGUAGCUGGGACUACAGGCGCAAGCCACCACGCCCGGCUAAUUUUUUGUAUUUUUAGUAGAGACGGGGUUUCACCAUUUUAGCCAGGAUGGUCUCGAUCUCCUGACCUCGUGAUCUGCCCGCCUCAGCCUUUUUUGUUGUUGUUGUUGUUUUUUGGAGACAAGGUCUCACUCUGUCACCCAGGCUGGAGUGCAGUGGUGUGAUCACAGCUCACUGCAUCCUAGACCUCCCAGGCUCAGGCAAUCCUCCCACCUCAGCCUCAUUUGUAGCUGGGACUACAGGUGCAUGCCACCAUGCCCAGCUAAUUUUUUGUAGUUUUGGUAGAAAUGGGGUUUCAUCACAUGGCCCAGGCUAGUCUUAAACUCCUGGGCUCCAGCAAUCUGCUUGCCUUGGCCUCCCAAAGUGCUGGGAUUACAGGCAUGAGCUGCUGCACCCGGCCUAAACUAAAAAUGUUCACAUAGUAUAUAGGGAGGAUGUGGGGCGGGGAAGAGCAAAUGUGUAAUGGAGUGAAAUCCUAAACAAUGCCUAAAAUUAAUAAAUCAAGAAAUAGUAAUAUAAACAUUUUAUUUAGAGAUUUGGAGGUGUACUAGUCUGUUCUCGCACUGUAAUAAAUUACCAAGACUGGGUAAUUUAUAAAGAAAAAGAGGUUUAAUGGACUCACAGUUCCACAUGGCUGGGGAGGCCUCAUAAUCAUGGCGGAAAGUGAAGGAGGAGCAAAGGCGCGUCUUACAUGGUGGCAGGCAAGAGAGCGUGUGCAGGAGAACCGCCUUUUAUAAAACCAUCAGAUCUUGAGAGACUUAUUCACUAUCACGAGAACAGCACAGGAAAAACUCACCCCCAUGAUUCAAUUACCUCCCACUGGGUCCCUCCCAUGACACAUGGGGAUUAUGGGAGCUGCAAUUCAAGAUGAAUUAGGGUGGGGACACAGCCGAAACAUAUCAGGAGGUUCCUGGAAGAAACAGAGUUGAAAGCAGUUAUCUUGCUGAGUGGGGGACUCAGGGCAUGGGCAGGAGACUGCUGAGUUUUGUUUUACGUCUUACUACAUUUGAUUUAUAAAAGACAGAUGUGCAUAUAUCACUUCAAAAAAACAAAAGUGGAUGUGGCUGAUGCCAAAGUGACCUGCCCCAGAAGAGCUGCUAACAGAACAGCAUCCCAGGAGGCUGCAGAAGGCUGAAGAGCAGAGCCCACACCUGCUAUGGGCCACAAGAGGCCCUGGAUGCCAUGGAGGCCGCAAGGGCCCAGGCGGGACUUGCAGAAUGAGAGUCCUAGGCCCAAGUAUAGAGUCCCUGGUGGGCACAGAGGAGAGACCAGGUCAGUGGGAGGGGUUGUCAGACCCUGUGGAGUGCCCCACCUGUGUGCCAGGCCCAGAACUGGGCUCAACUCUGAUGGUAGCAGGUGGAAAGUAGACUUCACUACUGUGGGAGUGGGGGCAUUCCUGGACACAGGGGGAAACCAGCUCACAGAACAGCCUGGGGUCUUCUUGGAGGAGGCCAUUUUGGCCCAGAUCCUAAAGGAAGACUGGAAGCCUCAGGGGGCAGUGAGAACAGGGACAAGAGAGGGCAGGUCUCAGGACUGACUGAGCAACUCAGACUGACCUGGAUCAAACUGUGGAGCCGGCGAAGGGUUUAGAGGGUUGCUGCAGGACAGUGGUGUCUGCAAAGACGCCUCUGGCUGCUGUCUGGAAAAUAGACAGGGGAGGCUGGGCAGGGGUCUGGGCAGGGGCUGGACAGGGGUGCUGGGCAGGGGCUGGACAGGGGUGCUGGGCAGGGGCUGGACAGGGGUGCUGGGCAGGGGCUGGACAGGGGUGCUGGGCAGGGUCAGUCCAUCUCCAUCCUGCUUUCCUUUUCUUUCUUUUCAACAAAUAUUGAUGGAGCACCUCCUCGGUGCCAGGCGCUGCUGCAGCCUCUAGGAAAUCAACCGUGGAAACACACGGACCCUGCCCUCCCGGCGCCAGUGUUCUGGUGGUCAGGAGGUGAAGAAAACCAGCAAGAACCAGCACAGGAAUCCGACGGUGGCAGCGCCGAGAGAAACAAGCUUGGAGGGGAAGGAGAGCUACAGAGGCUGCAUGGAUGUGAUGGUUGGAGUGGAAGCUGACAUUGUGGGCCAGGAGACCCUGGGAGUACAGGCCAAGAUGAAAAGAGCCUCAAUCCAGAGCGUUCUGUGAAGCAGUCACCACGGCCACCCUGGGCCAUCAGCUUCUGGACUUUUACAACAUAGAAAUUAAAUUUCCAUUGAAUUUGUUGGAGUCAUUGUUCCUUCAGCUCUCUGUUACCUGCACUUACAUCUCUCUGUGAGUCGCGGAGUCUUGCAGUUAAGGUAUUAAUAUUAUUGCGUCUCAAGGUGCCUCAGGUCAGAGGUUCCAAAGGUGAAUGAGGGCACAGCUCUCCGUCUGAGACUCACGGUGGAGAAGCCUCCUCACCUUGCUCCUUCUCCCUGUCACCAAGAAAGGAGGUCUGGGGGAAGGAAGGGGUCCGUGUGGCCCUCCCGCCCCCACACUGUCCCUCUUGGAUUCUGCUAGCCUGUGGGUGUGGGCAGCAGCUCAGCCUGGCCCUGGAAUUUUCCAUAAAG